UGUGACCUUGGCUCUUCUGUAUAUUCAUCCUGCCUGUCACUUUUCAGAACCGAGGCAGCAAAGGACCAUAAGCAAUUCUCCAAUGGUGAAGAUCGACCCCAGUCAUGUAAAAACACGAGGCAACACAUUUCACUUUUGCUUAAGAAGGAUCUUGCAGAAAGUGAAGAAGAGCAGGAAUAGAGAAGACAUUUGAAUGACGACUGAUGUUCUCUUCUUUGGCCUGAGGCCUCUGGAAGCUUCCAAUGAUGGUGGAAGGCGAAGAGGGAACUUGCGCAUCACAUGGCAAAAGCAGGAGCAAGAGAGAGGCGAGGAGGUGCCGCACACUUUUAAAAGACCAGAUCUCAUGAAAACUCACUAUUGUGAGGACAGCACCAAGAGGAUCGUGCUAAAUUAUUCAAGAGAAAUCCUCCCCCAUGAUCCAGUCACCUCCCACCAGGCCCCACCUCCAACAUUGGGGAUUACAUUUCAACAUGAGAUUUGGAUGGAAACACAUUCAAGCUUUAUCAGCCCAGCUCCGGGAGUUCUUAAACUCAUAAGAAUCUAUGAGCUCCCAGAUUUAUGGGCCUUGAAAUAGACUUUAUUCUCCACUACCAUUUUUCGUUUGUAAUUUACAAGUGUCUUAUGGGAAGCGACAUUGAGGGUCUAGAGGGCAGCGUCAGGGAAGCCAGAGAUUCCAAGCACAAGAAAGAUUUGAUGCAGCCUUGGUGACUUGGAGAUGGAAGGGGCCAUGAGGCAAGGAAUGUAGACAACUGUAAGUGUUGAAAGUGGACCUCAGCUGGCAGCCAGUAAGAAAAGAGGAACCUUCAGGCUACAACCUCAAGGGACAGAAUUCAGCCAACAUCCAGAGUAAGUUUAGAAAUGGACUUUUCCUCGGCGCCUCCAAAUAAGAGUCCAUUCUGACCUCUGCAUUGAUUUUAGGCUUAUAAGAUUAAGCAGGUGAUCCAGCCACACGGUUCUGGUCUUCUGAGCUCCCGGAGAAAUGCAUGUUGUUUGAAGCUGCUAAGUUUGUGGCAAUAUGUUACUCAGCAACAGAAAACUAAUAUACUUGGAAUAGAAUAUUCACUGUGAAUGAAGGAAGUUUUGAGCUCUAUAAAAAUGGAAAACUUUUAUCUUACUCUCACUUCCAACUAAUUUCCCAGAUGCAUUAUCACUUCAGAACAUUCUGCAGGGUAUUGGCGAUGAUUUUUCUUCUUUAUAGAGAUCCAGUAUUAAGUUAGAGAAUAAAUAGUGGUAAUAAUAAUAAUUAAUAAUAAUAUAGAUAACAUUUUGAGCGUGUUUAUCAUGUGCUAGCAUUUUGCUAAACACUUUAUCUGCAUUCUCUCAUAUAAUUCCCACAAUGGUCAUUUUAAGACAGAGAUUAUUACUAUUUUCAUUUUGUGUUUUCGGAAUUAGAGAAUUGCAGACAUGUAUAAAUCUUCAUAUAUAAACCUGUGAUAUUGUGGUAUAAUGGGAAAUAUAUAUUUUGUUUCUGCUCCUGGUUCCUGGCACAAAGCUACUAAAACCCUUGUAGUUUCCUGACUAAUAGGGGUGCUAGGUAUAUCUUUGGUUCUGAUAUUGGGUCUUUGAUUCCAGUUCCUGACAUGGUGCUCAUAAUCCCUUAGAAUUUUCUGGGUGAUACAUGUGUCUUUUUUUCUAAGGAAGUGACUCUUGAUGGGCUACUGGAUUGGAGCUUGUCACCAGAAAGACCAAGCCAUGAUUAGAAGCUUGGAACUUUCAGCCUCAGCCCCUAUCCUCCAGGAAGCAGAGAGGGGCUGGAGAUUGUUAAUAAUCAAUCUUGCCUAUGUGAUGAAGCUUCCAUAAAAAUCCCUGAAUUCUGGGGUUCAGAGAGAUGCAAGGUUGCUGAACAUGUGGAGAUGCUAGGAGGGUGGUGCCCUGGAAAGAGCAUGGAGGUUCAAGAGCCCCUUUCCCCAUACCUUGCCCUGUGUAUCUCACCCCCUCUGGCUGUUAAUCUGUAUCCUUAGUAAUAUUCUUUAUGAUAAAAUGGCAAGUGUAAAUAAAGUGUUUCCCUGAAUCCUAUGAGCCACUCCAGCUAAUUAAGCAAACCUGAGGGGGUUCUAGAAAACACCAAUUUAUAGCCCAUCAGUCAGAAGUUCUAGAGGCCCAUACUUGUGAUUAGCAUCUGGAGCGAGGGGCAGUCUUGCGGUGCUGAGUCCUCACCUUGUGAGAUCUGACUCCAACUCCAGGUAGGUAUUGUCAGAAUCGAGUUAAAUUGUAGGACACCCCAUUAGUGUCCACUGGAGAACUGCUUGCAGUGUAAGGGGAAAAUCCCACAAAUCUGGUGUCAACAGUCUUGUAAUGUUUUGUUGAGAAUAUAAUAGAAGAUGCUUAGUUCAUCUGUUUGUUUGUUUACUAUCAUACAGAACCAAAAUCCAGGUCUGUCUGAUCUUAAACCCAUUUGCCUGGUGGAAAGUUAUGGAUGGUGCUCAGAGUUCACUGUUCUCUUUCUGUUUCAUAUGCUCAGGUGUGUUGCUAAACAUGAGAUGCUGGGAAACUGAAAGGAAUACGUAAGAAAGAUGGCAACAAUUAAAAAAUGCAGAAUGAGGUUGAUCUAAAAUAAAAGUUGACAACCAAUGAAAUGGAGUCCUUAAAAUUCAUUUUUCAUAGAAGAACAGAUAACGGAAUUACAUACUUAAGAUAAAUAAUUGCCUGGGCUUGGUUUACUGAGAUUUUUUAACUGUGUUUUAUAUUUGUGAUUUAAAAAACUAUCAGGGAAGC
rnacentral:lncRNA from 1 species